rnacentral:rRNA from 1 species
UUGCAUAUCAAUAAGCGGAGGAAAAGAAACCAACAGGGAUUGCCCUAGUAACGGCGAGUGAAGCGGCAACAGCUCAAAUUUGAAAUCUGGCUUCGGCCCGAGUUGUAAUUUGCAGAGGAAGCUUUAGGCGCGGCACCUCCUGAGUCCCCUGGAACGGGGCGCCACAGAGGGUGAGAGCCCCGUAUAGUUGGAUGCCUAGCCUGUGUAAAGCUCCUUCGACGAGUCGAGUAGUUUGGGAAUGCUGCUCAAAAUGGGAGGUAAAUUUCUUCUAAAGCUAAAUACCGGCCAGAGACCGAUAGCGCACAAGUAGAGUGAUCGAAAGAUGAAAAGCACUUUGAAAAGAGGGUUAAAUAGCACGUGAAAUUGUUGAAAGGGAAGCGCUUGUGACCAGACUUGCGCCGGGCUGAUCAUCCGGUGUUCUCACCGGUGCACUCUGCCCGGCUCAGGCCAGCAUCGGUUCUCGCGGGGGGAUAAAGGCCCUGGGAACGUAGCUCCUCCGGGAGUGUUAUAGCCCGGGGCGUAAUGCCCUCGCGGGGACCGAGGUUCGCGCUCUGCAAGGAUGCUGGCGUAAUGGUCAUCAGCGACCCGUCUUGAAACACGGACCCA